UACGGAGGGUGCGAGCGUUAAUCGGAAUUACUGGGCGUAAAGGGUGCGUAGGUGGUUGAGUAAGUCAUUUGUGGAAUUCCUGGGCUUAACCUGGGGUUGUCAGAUGAGACUGUUUGACUCGAGUAUGGGAGAGGGUAGUGGAAUUUCCGGUGUAGCGGUGAAAUGCGUAGAGAUCGGAAGGUACACCAGUGGCGAAGGCGGCUACCUGGCCUAAUACUGACACUGAGGCACGAAAGCAUGGCUAGCGAACAGG
rnacentral:misc_RNA from 1 species